UUUCAUUACUUAGAAAUGCUUGGAACAAAAUAGGGACAUUUUCAUACGCAUAGUCUAUCUCUUUAUUCUUACUGCUCUUCAACUAUACAUGAGUAGAAUGGAUGUAUAUAUUUUAUAUGAAAUACCACUAUAUAAUUUGUAACUUAUUUGUAAAUUAUGUAUUCAAAAGAACAAAUGUCAUAGUUAAUUUCAGCACUUCUUACUGCUUUUGUAAUUAUUAUCUUUGACUUUCAGGGCCCCACAGGGCCAAAUUUCACCUCUUUACCUGCAAAAUUUAUGUUUAAUUCCUGGCAAAUAAUUUACCAUUGUGAGCCAUAAGCUGGGCAUCAGAGCCUGAAGAAUAUUAAUAUUAUGCAAAUUACUUCCAAGUAUUUUAAAUUAAUUGGAUAAGCUCCAUGAAAUAAUGUCCCGUCAGUCCACUUGAGUGAGAAAGAAGAGAAAACUCUCCUAGGGGAAAGUUUUGGCACAUUUUUUGAAAUGAAACCUCUUUUCCACAGAUUCUCUUCACUCCUUCUAUACAAACACAGGAAAAGAGGGAAUACAAACUUGGAGGAGCUGAAAUAUUUUUGUUCUAAACAGAGUAGAACCGUAAGAAAAGGAAACUUGAGAGAAUAGUCAGAUGUGGCUUAUUUAUUGCCAGAAGAGAUGGUGCUGGGUAAGAAUUGUUGUAAACAAUUCUGUUGAAAAAGUCUGAAACAGACCGUUGGAGUUUCCUGGGCAUAAUGUGCAAAUUAUUUUCCUAGAGAAAAAGGGAAAGAUUUACUCUGCUGUAGGUUUCCUGACCAUGAUCAUCUAGUGAAAAGGGGGUGAGAGCCUCCAAGAGUUAAAACUAACUUUAUCUAUAACAAAGAUGUACAUUUGGCUGUCAGGAAGUUCUCCCCA
rnacentral:lncRNA from 1 species